rnacentral:misc_RNA from 1 species
GCAAAAUUUAACCGGCCGAUGCAACAAAGAGAAUCAUGUUCUCUUUCCUCUUUUCAUCUUCUACAAGUACUCUUCUCUGUUCUGUCUCCAAAAAACUCUCAAUCAAUACCACCUUAACAAGAGCUCUUCCAUUUUUCACUGCCACAACCGCCACCAUGUCCAUAAACCUUCAAUACCAUGCCUUUGCUGGCAACCCUAUAAGAUCCAAAACCCUCAAACCUACUGAU